rnacentral:lncRNA from 1 species
CCCGCGUGACCUCACCGCUGCGGGGCGAUGGAGCGAAAAGUAGGAAGGAGGAAAGAGAUGGUCCAGCCGUGGGGGGCGGGGGAGGCUUCUGGCCAGACCAUUACUCCGCCCCGUCCCCACCCUCAAGGAGAGCCGUUAAAGCCUGGGGCUGCGGGAGAAGUUGAGGGAUUUUCGUUUAUAACAACUCUACCAUUUUGCAGGUGAGGAAACUGAAGUCCCGGGAGAGACAGUGGCAAGGUCAAGUAGCAAAGUGCACUCAGCCCUCCCAGCAAGGAGUCUGCCACUCGCGCUUGAAGGACGUGUUUGAAGAGCUGCUUUCCCAGUGGGAUGCUGCCUUAAAGUCUUGAUUCCCUGGCACUCUUUCCUAUUACUACAUUUUAUCGGUGCUGUUUGUGUUAUGCAACGGUAGCAUCGUGUCUCCGGAAGAUAAAAAAGGUCUCGAUACAAACAUCCAUAACCUUCCACCCACUCCGUCAGGAACAACCCAAUCAAAAUAAAGUCAUGAGAAUUUAGCAUGCCUUGUUCUGUGUUUAAAAUAGAAGACAAAGUAUUUCUGUAUAUAUCGUACACCUUCCCGGUCAAGGUCUGUCAAAGAAUGAGAAAGGAAGCAUAGAGACUAUCUUGUCUACCCUCUUCUGUUAGGAAAUGUUUUUGAAAUAUCGCGAAUUGCCCAGCACUGCUAGAUCC